CAUUCGCACAAAAUUUGCAUUGGAUUUGUGAAGAGCAAAAUUGGCCUUCUGUUCAUUGCUUUCCUUUAAUUAAUUUAUCAAUACAAUAUUAAUGUAAUGAAAUGAUUUUAUUUCUUCCCAAACCCUAGCCUGGCCGUCCACUCUCCGGCCAUGGAUUCCGACCGCGGAGAGAACGGCGACUCCUCUCACAACCACGUUUCCAAGAAGCCAAAGCUCUCUGCUUUCAUAUCCGAAGAGGAAAUCCGACAAGAGUUCUCUCAUCACCAGCGUGGAAUCGCGCGAAUCAACAACGGUAGUUUCGGAAGCUGCCCCGCUUCCAUAAUCGCCGCUCAGAAGGAGUGGCAGCUCCGAUUUCUUCAACAGCCUGAUGAUUUCUACUUCAAUCACCUCCGGAAGGGCUUGCUCGAAUCCAGAACUGUUGUAAAGGGCCUCAUCAAUGCUGACUCCGUCGACGAAGUUUCCCUCAUCGACAACGCUACCACGGCCGCCGCUAUCGUGCUCCAACAGAUCGGCCGCGCCUUCGCCCAAGGUAAAUUUCAAAAAGGCGAUGUCGUUGUCAUGCUCCACUGCGCUUUCCAGUCGGUGAAGAAGUCGAUUCAGGCCUAUGUUACUGGAGCCGGUGGCUCCGUCAUCGAAGUCCAAUUGCCAUUUCCAUUGACGUCGAAAGAGGAAAUCGUUUCUGAGUUUAGGAAAGGUUUAGAGAAAGGUAAAUCCGAUGGUAGGCAUGUUAGGUUAGCUAUAAUUGAUCAUAUAACAUCAAUGCCGUGCGUUGUGGUGCCCGUAGAGGAAUUGGUUAAGAUUUGUAGGCAGGAAGGGGUCGACCAGGUGUUUGUAGAUGCAGCUCAUGCUAUUGGUAGUGUUCCUGUUGAUGUUAAAGAAAUUGGGGCUGAUUUCUACGUUAGUAAUUUGCAUAAGUGGUUCUUUUGCCCGCCUUCAGUUGCAUUUUUGUAUUGUAGAAAAUCGCCUUUAUCAUCUGAAGUGCACCAUCCGGUGGUUUCCCAUGAAUUUGGAAAUGGAUUGGCUAUAGAAAGUUCAUGGAUAGGGACAAGGGAUUACAGUUCACAGCUUGUUGUUCCUUCAGUUUUGGAGUUUGUGAAUAGGUUCGAAGGUGGUAUUGAGGGUAUUAUGAUGAGGAAUCAUGAAAUUGUUGUUAAAAUGGGAGAAAUGCUUGCUAAGUCCUGGGGAACAAAUCUUGGGGCACCUCCGGAAAUGUGUGCUAGCAUGAUUAUGGUUGGUUUGCCUUCUAGAUUGUUUAUUUCCAGUGAGGAAGAUGCUAUGAGAUUGAGGUCGUAUUUGCGUCAGCAUCAUGGUAUUGAAGUUCCCUUACAUUAUCAGGCUCCCUCAGAUGUUGAGGGUGGCCCAAAGGAUAAGGAUGGUCUUGUAACAGGUUAUGCUAGGAUUUCUCAUCAAGUUUAUAACAGUUUUGACGAUUAUUGCAAGUUUAGGGAUGCAAUUAAUCAACUUGUUGAGCAGCGACGGAGUUGCAAAAUGCUUUUUAUGGAAUAAAGAGGCCCAGUUUCAAGCUGAAAGAAGAUUUGAAAAGGCUCAUCACCAGAUUUUUGGAUGGUUGGUCGGGAGCAGGGAGGAGCAGUUUUCAAUGGAACAAUGUCUAUUUUCUCUACUCAUGCUACUACGGGCUUGCAUGGUUUCCAAAUAAUGAAUGCUGGAGAGUGUUAUGUACUCACUAGAACUGUGAUUGAUUCCUAGUAGCUUCCACCCCUUGUAAGCCAAUUUUCUAGUCUAUGGGAUCCUGCUAUAUGUAUAUGUCCCAUGGUAAUUGAUCACCACAAUAAACAUAAAAUAUCAGCCCUAGUCUAGCAAUUCCAUCAAGUUAAGCUGAAAAUUUUACAUGAACUUCAGUUUAACCUCUUGGAGGUUCAUUCACCAAGAUAAUGAGUGAUUGUCUGGGAAUUAAAAAAAUCUCUUUUAGAUUACUUGUCUCA